GUGGGCUCUUGCCGGGCGUUAUCCAACAGGCACCAGCACCACUCGACUCCAGCUCGCCGCCGGCCACCGCAGCGAUGCUCCUCCUGCGCGCCCGCCCGCCCGCCGCCGUGCCGCUCUCCUUCUCCACGGCCGCCUACUACAGUUUCCCCCUGACCUCCCCGUCCUCCUCCUGCUGCUGCACGGCCGCGCGCUGCUCCGUCGGCUCCUCGGCCAAGCUCUCCGCCGUCAAGUUCGAGCCCCUCCGCUCCGACUCCGAUCCUUGGGGUGCGGACCAAGGCGUGGCCACCACUGAAGACGGCGAGCAACAAUUCAACAAGGAUGGUCCGGAGAGGGAUCGGAAGGGCAUCCCCGGCAUCCACGUGCCGCGCCAGCGCUACAUCGCCGUCCCCAAGGCAGCCCUCCUCGACGCGGUCCUCUCCCAAUUCCCCUCCGAAGCCGACGCCGCAGACUUUAAGCGCUGCGCCAGAUGCUUGGACGCCAUCCUUCACGCCGAGCACAAGGGGAUGCUCGAGGAGAUGCGCACCUCUUACAUGCUCACGCAGCGCCACCAGGAGGACCAAGACGAUCAGACGGACAGCUCCGACGUCCAAGCCAUCGUCAACGGCAAAACCUCCUCUGGCUUUUUCGGCAUCACCCAAGAGGACGGGACAUUAUUCCUUACCAGAAGCCUGGGCUUGAGAACUCUGCUCGGACUAACCUCAGAACCUGGUUCCAAGACCAGAGCUGCUUUUGCAACUCAGUUCCAGCGCUCCUUCAUGAACCUUCUACGCAAUGCUCAGUUCGAAGAACUCUCUGCACAAGAUUUGCUCUUGACAUACGCCCUAAACACUGACUACCUCUUGACCUUGCCGAUUUAUGUUGACUGGAAAAAGGCAGCUGAAUCCAAUGCAAUAAUAUUCAGGUGAUCAUUUUCUUCUUCCUUCCUGAUGCACAGGCACAAAGCAAAUUGUCGUGGUAAAACUUGUCAUCGACUAUUUCAGGCGUGGGUAUGCUACUGAGAGGCAGAAAGGGCUCCUAUUAGUUGAGAAACUCGAUUACCUGCAAUCAAAACUCUUGCAGAAUAUAUUCUUCAGCCUCUCCAAACCCUUGAAAAAGCCAGGGAAAUGGCUUAACGAGUUCAUGGCAGGCUUUGAAAAGAUCAACAGGGAACCAGGGAUUUCAAAUCUGGAUCGAUAAAUUAAGAGACUGGCUUAAAGAGCAAACCUACGCAGAUAAUUCACUGUUGUUGAUAGAAAACUCUUCAUGGGACAAGCUUAGUUCUGAUCAGUUACCCGAUGAUGAUGUUCCUAUUUGGAUCGCUGCACAAAGGGCGGUGUCUCGUUACGAAGGAAUUCUAUCACCUGUUGGUCCUCGUGGUAGAUUGUUAAGGAGACUGCUUACAUGGACUGGCUUAAUACCUUCUCUGCCUGAAGCAACGAUAAAAACUGAUGAUGAGACUAAACAUCUUGAAGGACAUGUGAGGCCAAAUUUUCUACCAAGAAUUACCCUUGCAAAUAUAUGGCAACCUGCAAGCAGGGAAUCUUGCAACAACAAUUUUUGGGAGAUAGUGAAAGUUUCUUUUCGUAUCUUAUUUGGGAGGUCCACUCUUCAGGAACCAGCAUUCCAAGAGUUGAUCCUAUUAUAUACUGAUGAAACUGCUCAAAGUGAAAAGAAGGAUAAAUCUGAGAUGCUUCCGCUACAACUAAAAAUUUAUGAGAAGAUUCCGAUCCCAGAUCUGCCAGUGGUUUUUCCCCACAAGAAGUUGUCCUUCCGCAUCCUAGAUACAGUAAGGCUGGACAUAGCUACUGUAAUAGGUCUGUUGGCAUACGUUGUCAACUACAAAUUUGAGAGUUUGGCCUCAUCUCCGUAAGUAUGUGAUUUGUAUCAGUAGCUGAUGGAACCACUUAUUUAAUUAAGAAAGUAAUGUAUGUUAUUUUUUCCUUUUCCAUGGUAAUGCAGGUCAGCUUUUCUCCUUGAUAUAAUCGCUAUUAGUGCACUGCUGAUACUUGUGUUCCGUGUAGCACUAGGCUACAAACAGACUCGGGACAGAUACCAGCUUCUUGUGAAUAAGACGUUGUAUGAGAAGACAUUAGCAAGUGGGUUUGGUUCAAUUUACUUUCUUCUGGAUGCUUCUGAGCAACAACAGUAUAAAGAAGCACUGUUGGUUUAUGCUAUGUUGCUGUGCAGAAAGAAGUAUCAGGUGUCAUCGCGUGCAAGCAUCAGAGAUACCUGCGAGCAAUUCAUGUACGAGAAAUUCAAGGCGAAGAUUGAGAUGCCGAUUGACAAGGCUAUAGAGACGCUUGUGCGGUUGGGGUUGGUGAUGGAGCUUCCAACCAAUGGUGGGUCGCGCGUGGUUGGUGUUCCAUGUUCAGAAGCAUAUGAGAUCCUGAGAGGCCGGUGGGAUAGCUUGUUGGAACACAAAACAGAGCAAGCCUGAUGUAAAUCUUAUCGUUGGAAUGGCGGCAACCAGACCACCUUGCAUUUGAGCCGUCUCUGGAUCUGGCUGCUGUACAUACAUAAUACAUGGCUGGCUAUUCGCGUCCAAAUUUGGACUGCUGAUGGAGAGAUGGCAAAUGCAAAUGAAGCAGAGAUGGCAAAUGCGUUAUGUGCAUGCUUAGGACAAGCGAUCAGCAUUAGUACUGUUGAUUGAUGCAAUAUAUCGCCAUUAUUAUUUCAUAGAUAUAUUGUUAUAU